AGGAAUACCGGUGGCGAAGGCGGCCCCCUGGACGAAGACUGACGCUCAGGUGCGAAAGCGUGGGGAGCAAACAGGAUUAGAUACCCUGGUAGUCCACGCUGUAAACGAUGUCGACUUGGAGGUUGUGCCCUUGAGGCGUGGCUUCCGGAGCUAACGCGUUAAGUCGACCGCCUGGGGAGUACGGCCGCAAGGUUAAAACUCAAAUGAAUUGACGGGGGCCCGCACAAGCGGUGGAGCAUGUGGUUUAAUUCGAUGCAACGCGAAGAACCUUACCUGGUCUUGACAUCCACAGAACUUUCCAGAGAUGGAUUGGUGCCUUCGGGAACUGUGAGACAGGUGCUGCAUGGCUGUCGUCAGCUCGUGUUGUGAAAUGUUGGGUUAAGUCCCGCAACGAGCGCAACCCUUAUCCUUUGUUGCCAGCGGUCC
rnacentral:rRNA from 1 species